UUCCGGUUGAUCCUGCCGGAGGUCACUGCUAUUGGGAUUCGACUAAGCCAUGCGAGUCGAGAGGGUUCGGCCCUCGGCAGACGGCUCAGUAACACGUGGAUAAUCUGCCCUUAGGUGGAGGAUAACCUCGGGAAACUGAGAAUAAUACUCCAUAGAUCUAGGAUGCUGGAAUGCACUUAGAUUGAAAGUUCCGACGCCUAAGGAUGAGUCUGCGGACUAUCAGGUAGUAGUCAGGGUAAAGGCCUGACUAGCCUACGACGGAUACGGGUUGUGAGAGCAAUAACCCGGAGACGAUAUCUGAGACACGAUAUCGGGCCCUACGGGGCGCAGCAGGCGCGAAACCUUCACAAUGUGCGAAAGCACGAUGAGGGGAUCCCAAGUGCUUGCUCGUAAGAGUAAGCUGUUUUUAUGUCUAAAAAGCAUAGAGAGUAAGGGCUGGGUAAGACGGGUGCCAGCCGCCGCGGUAAUACCUGCAGCUCAAGUGGUGACCACUAUUAUUGGGCCUAAAACGUUCGUAGCCGGUUUGGUAAAUGCCUGGGUAAAUCGUGUAGCUUAACUAUACGAAUUCCGGGUAGACUGCCAAACUUGAGACCGGGAGAAGCUAGAGGUACUCCUGGGGUAGAGGUGAAAUUCUGUAAUCCUGGGGGGACCACCAGUGGCGAAGGCGUCUAGCUAGAACGGGUUUGACGGUGAGGAACGAAGCCCUGGGGCGCAAACCGGAUUAGAUACCCGGGUAGUCCAGGGUGUAAACGCUGCUUGCUUGAUGUUAGUUGGGCUCCGAGCCCAAUUAGUGUCGGAGAGAAGUUGUUAAGCAAGCUGCCUGGGAAGUACGAUCGCAAGAUUGAAACUUAAAGGAAUUGGCGGG
rnacentral:rRNA from 1 species